rnacentral:rRNA from 1 species
AUUGAACGCUGGCGGCAGGCCUAACACAUGCAAGUCGAGCGGCAGAAGAGAGCUUGCUCGUGGUUACGGGGGCGGAGGGGCGGGUGAGGGCGAGAAACAUGCGAGGCAGCGGGGGCUAGCGUGAGGAAGCGGGGGCACAUACCGCAAAACCGCAGAGGACGUACGGGGGGAAGCAUGGGACCUUCGGACCUCACGCGAUUCUAGGUCGGAUUAGCUAGUUGGCGGGGUAAAGGCCUACCAAGGCGACGAUCCGUAACUGGUCUGAGAGGAUGAUCAGCCACACUGGAACUGAGACACGGUCCAGACUCCUACGGGAGGCAGCAGUGGGGAAUAUUGGACAAUGGGCGCAAGCCUGAUCCAGCCAUGCCGCGUGUGUGAAGAAGGUCUUCGGAUUGUAAAGCCCUUUUGUUUGGGAAGAAGAGCAGUAGGUUAAUACCUCGCUGUUUUGACGUUACCCACAGAAUAAGCACCGGCUAACUUCGUG